GGGAAGGGAGAGGGCGGCCAGGUCUGACUCCAAAUGAGGAGAAACUUUCAAGUUGCAGCGGCUGAUGGUGUGGUUCCCAGAGCUGAUCCAGUAGAGUUUGCUUUCAGGAAAGUCGAUAGCCAGGCCUGGAAGAGGGGAGCGUCACUGCCACCGGAAAGCCUGGCACCCAGGGGGUGGACAACCAGGCCGUGGGGCUGCUCCAGGCCCUGCACCACCGCAUUCUUGAAGGAGCCGUCCAGCCGGGCCACAUU